AGAAUUUUGAAAAGAAAUAAAACGAUAUUAAAUUAACACUCACAGAAUUUCAUUCUCUAUAUAAAUGGAACCGAACCAACUUUCGAUUUUUUUCGAGAACGAGACACGAAAGGGUUGAUUUCACCUAGGAUUUCGUCAUUGCACGUUCUCUUUUUUCGGCACUCGUGACUCACUGUGUUAGCCGCGCAUCGAUCAGUCGCUCGUGCUCGCUCCAAUCUCAAUUUCUUCCCCUUUGAUCGUGCUUCGAAAAGAGUUUAUCAAUCCAGCGGCGAUCUGUACGUGAGGCAAAGCAGUAAUUGACCCGAUCGCCUGAAUGGCAUCGUUGAAUUUUCUUCAGAG